CUUGACGAAGCUGGCUCAUACCGCCCUGUUCUGGAUUCGUGGCGGGUCUGUUGUGCUGCAUUAACGUGCCCUCGGAAUCGAGCUGAAUGCACGUGCUCGACCUCGAAUAAUGGUCACUUAACUUCCCGCCAUGUGUUUUCCCGCUUCUGUGAUCGUCUGCCCCGCCCCUGAUUGUUGUCACCUGUGUCCCCUUGCCUCAUUUAUAAAUAGUCCUGUCGCCCCUUGUCUUGUGCCAGUUUGUCUGGUUAAAUCUAGUCAAGUGUAUGGUUAUUGUUAAUGGGUAAACUUUGUAUUAAAAGAUGUUUUGUUUGUACGUCA